GAUGAACGCUGGCGGCGUGCCUAAUACAUGCAAGUCGAGCGAAUGGAUUAAGAGCUUGCUCUUAUGAAGUUAGCGGCGGACGGGUGAGUAACACGUGGGUAACCUGCCCAUAAGACUGGGAUAACUCCGGGAAACCGGGGCUAAUACCGGAUAACAUUUUGAACCGCAUGGUUCGAAAUUGAAAGGCGGCUUCGGCUGUCACUUAUGGAUGGACCCGCGUCGCAUUAGCUAGUUGGUGGGGUAACGGCUCACCAAGGCAACGAUGCGUAGCCGACCUGAGAGGGUGAGCGGCCACACUGGGACUGGGACACGGCCCAGACUCCUACGGGAGGCAGCAGUAGGGAAUCUUCCGCAAUGGACGAAAGUCUGACGGAGCAACGCCGCGUGAGUGAUGAAGGCUUUCGGGUCGUAAAACUCUGUUGUUAGGGAAGAACAAGUGCUAGUUGAAUAAGCUGGCACCUUGACGGUACCUAACCAGAAAGCCACGGCUAACUACGUGCCAGCAGCCGCAGUAA
rnacentral:rRNA from 1 species